rnacentral:rRNA from 1 species
AAACUUUCAACAACGGAUCUCUUGGUUCUGGCAUCGAUGAAGAACGCAGCGAAAUGCGAUAAGUAAUGUGAAUUGCAGAAUUCAGUGAAUCAUCGAAUCUUUGAACGCACAUUGCGCCCCCUUGGUAUUCCGGGGGGGCAUGCCUGUUCGAGCGUCAUUU